GGCCUCUCCUGGCUGCCCACUGUGCGCAUCUGUGCUUGUGGCAAAUUGUUUCUACCUCACUGAAAUCUAAUCUAAUUAAUACAUCAGAAGCCACGCAUCUCCACAUGUAGAUCACGGUGCAGAUCAUUAAGUGAUUAAGCAGCAAAUAAAUUAAACUGACGGCAGUAAUAGAUUUCCUAUGAAAGCUGAGAAAAGAAGUAAUUAGGACUAACAUCAUCAGAGAGCCUUAUGAACUAUAGAUUAAAAAUCAAUUCAAUUCAAAAAAUAAAAAUAAAAAUGGGUAAAGGCUUUCUGGAGGAAAAAAACAGGAUCACAUAAGAACACACGAUGAAGACAUAUUGUGUGCAUGGGUGAGUCUAAUAGACUGUUCCAGGACAGGAGUUGUAGUAAGUCAGUGACUGCCAGUGGCUGCAUAGGAGGCCUUGAAGGGCACAAUGAUUAAUGUGGAGACAUAACAGUAUAGAUUGUCUGGGUAUUGGUUUGCUGUGAGUGUUACUAGACAGAGGAGGUCUAUGGGAUCAUCCUCAGAUUGCAUUGCUAGGAAAUGACAAAAUGUGAAAAUAUAAAGACCCGAACAACAGACCAAAUAAUAAUUAAAAGGAGACUUCUUGAAUACAAAAGAUAGAGACAUCAAAGAGUUAAGAAAAAAUGUUAGUGACUCACCUAAAUGUUUCAGGUAGCCAUAGAUUUUAAUUUGAGCAGAAGUUGGGAUGUUGCAGUUUUUAUUAAAAAUAGUGUCAGUGGUAUGUUUAUUUGGAGAGCAAAAUGAUGGGUUAAGUUCUGAACAAUAGCGUUUGAAGUAUAGAAGUGGGAAAGAAGGAAUAGCUUGACAUACAGCUAAGCCCAGGUUUUAUAUUCUGAAUUCUGUGCAUUACUUUGCCAUGUAUUACCCUCAGCUGUGAUGUGUGGUGUGGAAUAUGUAUGGUAAACAUGUGUGAAGUGCAUUGUAUACUGUUUGGAAGACUUAAAAUAGUCCUGUGUUUCUCUAACAUUACAACUACAAAUCUUAUCUGUGCCUUGUUAAAGUUACUCCCUGUGACUCACAGGGCUGCUCAGAAUAGCUAGCUGCUCAGCUACAGUUCUGGCCACAGUUGAACUAACUAUAGGGUUCCCCUCAUAGUUCAUGGAGGUAGUGCAGCUAUGUAGAUGCUAAUUUUAAAAAUGGGAGUUGUUUGUAAUUAAACUGGGGGAAAUAACUAUCUAUAAAACGCCAGUGCAUAUUGCUAAACCCUUCAGCUGUUUGGACUUCUAAAAUCUCUCUCAUUCUGCUAUACUUUCCUUUAUGGAUUGUUAAAUCUCUAUACUGUAUGCCUUUUGUUUUUAGGUGCAUGCAGCCCUCUUGGAUGUGCUGUUCCUUUUGUGCUAGGUGCAUUUGGUUCAAUCAUUUGGAAGCAUUUUGUCUACAACAUUAGAGAUCCUAUGCACUUGUGAGGUCCAGGAAUGGAAACUUCCCAAAUUUUACCAUUACCAACUCCCAAGGACUUUUCCCAUGACUCAGGAAAUGUGAAAGUUUUCAUUGUAGAAUCACAAUUUUCUUGUGCGAUUAUUAAGAGUUUAUCAGUUCUUAAUAAACUGGGGACGUUUUCAUUGUCAGAGCUAAAUUUUUUUUCCUUUGGGUGAAACAUAUCUAGCAUUAUUUUCCAGUAAAUCUUCCCCUCUCAUAUUUCAUAAAACUUACUGUGCCCUGGCUGUUCUCUAGCUACUUAAAUUAUUAAAUAUGCAUGAGCAUUAUUUUUAUUGGACCUUCUACUUAAACAUAUACCUGGCCGCUAUUAAUAAUUAGUUCUCCCGACAGCAAAAAUUCUAUAUUCUAUCUGAAGAUUUUCCAUGUGACACACUAUACAAUAGGUGUUAAAAAUUAUGGUUUUUAUGCUUAUCCACGGAGAUGUGUCUCUAUGUGUUUGUAUAAUUGAGCCAAAAGAAAGAAUGGUAUGGUGGAGACUGCAGAAUCCUUCUCCUGAUAAUCCACUGUCAAGUCUCAUUGUCCAGAAUACAAGCGUAAAUUUAAAAACGUUUCCAUUGGGCAGAUGAGAUAGUUCAGCAGGAAAAAUGGCUUGCUAUGCUAGCAUAGUAAUGUCAAUUUAAAUCCCAGAACACAUGUAACAAUGGAAGGGAAGUGUCUACUCCACAAAGUUGUCUCCUGGCCUCCACAUAAGUGAUGGGGAAGGUUUGUGUGCACACACACAACCACCACCACCACCACAACAACCAAUAACGGCAAUAAAUUAACAUUUUCUACUAGGUUGCUAUAUAAAAGUUAGACAACUGAAUUAAAGCCAAUAAUAUACAUCUCUUAUUUAUAAAGGAAAAAUCCU
rnacentral:lncRNA from 1 species